GUCUAUGGCCAUACCACUCUGAAUGUGUCCAAUCUCACCUGGUCUCAGAAGCUAAGUGGGAUCGGGCCUGAUUUGUACUCGGAUGAGAGAAAAAUACUCAGAAGAGACUACUCAGAGUCCAGUAAUUUGGAGACA
rnacentral:rRNA from 1 species